CUUAUAAAUUAUAGUAUAACAUUUAUUGUGCCUACUUUACUAUUCUACUUAAUAUUUUUUAUUAAAAUGGAAAAUCAAACAAGUGAAGUCAGAAAGAGUUACAGCAGUUGCAUAAAUACAUAUCAUAAAAUUCUACUGUCACAGGAAUGCAAGUCGGAUAUAAACAUGCUUUCUGAUAAAAUGUUAUCGAGUGUGAAUAAAAAUGUCCAUGACGAAAUACCAGUAAAAGAUGGCAGUGCUAAUCAUUUGGUACAUAACA
rnacentral:misc_RNA from 1 species